rnacentral:rRNA from 1 species
UGGGGAAUAUUGCACAAUGGGCGCAAGCCUGAUGUAGCAACGCCGCGUGAGGGACGACGGCCUUCGGGUUGUAAACCUCUUUUGGCAGGGAAGAAGCGAAAGUGACGGUACUUGCAGAAAAAGCACCGGCUAACUACGUGCCAGCAGCCGCGGUGAUACGUAGGGUGCAAGCGUUGUCCGGAAUUAUUGGGCGUAAAGAGCUCGUAGGCGGUUUGUCGCGUCUGCUGUGAAAACCCGAGGCUCAACCUCGGGCCUGCAGUGGGUACGGGCAAACUAGAGUGCGGUAGGGGAGAUUGGAAUUCCUGGUGUAGCGGUGGAAUGCGCAGAUAUCAGGAGGAACACCGAUGGCGAAGGCAGAUCUCUGGGCCGUAACUGACGCUGAGGAGCGAAAGCAUGGGGAGCGAACA